UUGACACAGGGUCUCACUCUAGC
rnacentral:misc_RNA from 1 species